rnacentral:rRNA from 1 species
CGUAACAAAGGGAAGCGACACCGCGAGGUGAAGCAAAUCUCGAAAAGACGUCUCAGUUCGGAUCGCAGGCUGCAACCCGCCUGCGUGAAGUUGGAAUCGCUAGUAAUCGCGGAUCAGCAUGCCGCGGUGAAUACGUUCCCGGGCCUUGUACACACCGCCCGUCACACCAUGAGAGUCGGGAACACCCGAAGUCCGUAGCCUAACCGCAAGGGGGGCGCGGCCGAAGGUGGGUUCGAUAAUUGGGGUGAAGUCGUAACAAGGUAUC